rnacentral:rRNA from 1 species
GAUGAACGCUGGCGGCGUGCCUAAUACAUGCAAGUCGAGCGAACGGACGAGAAGCUUGCUUUUCUGAUGUUAGCGGCGGACGGGUGAGUAACACGUGGAUAACCUACCUAUAAGACUGGGAUAACUUCGGGAAACCGGAGCUAAUACCGGAUAAUAUUUUGAACCGCAUGGUUCAAAAGUGAAAGACGGUCUUGCUGUCACUAAUAGAUGGAUCUGGGCUGCAUUAGCUAGUUGGUAAGGUAACGGCUUACCAAGGCAACGAUGCAUAGCCGACCUGAGAGGGUGAUCGGCCACACUGGAACUGAGACACGGUCCAGACUCCUACGGGAGGCAGCAGUAGGGAAUCUUCCGCAAUGGGCGAAAGCCUGACGGAGCAACGCCGCGUGAGUGAUGAAGGUCUUCGGAUCGUAAAACUCUGUUAUUAGGGAAGAACAUAUGUGUAAGUAACUGUGCACAUCUUGACGGUACCUAAUCAGAAAGCCACGGCUAACUACGUG